rnacentral:lncRNA from 1 species
UCACUAGUAUAUAUAAUAAGUGAAGGUUCCUUAGGGCGACGAAGGGUAUAUAUGUAAUUUCAUGUUAAAAGCAAGACCACGUGUUCAAAUAAAGACCAGGUACUACAUGCGAUUGUCCAUUUGUCAUCUACGGUUCUUCUUUCUAAUUCCAAACUACUCUGAAAGCCAUUUUAAUUUCUUUGGUUUUCAUCUUUCUACCGGUCGUUCUUUUUCCUCACAUCGCUCACGGGUUACCUUUUGGUGAGUUCUUAUUCUUCUCUUUAAUUUCAUUCUACAGGUUAAUGACAUAUAUAUAUAAUAUAUAUAUAAGAGGUCGAGGAUUAGGGUAGUAAAGUAAGUAGUCCAGAGUGUUCAUAACAGUAGUAUUGCAAGCAGUCUCGUUUUCUGUUGGUAGUAGGUUUUUAUGACUAACCGCUGUUUUCUUUCAUUGUUGAUCACCUUAUUGUCUUGUUGUUUUUAUUCUGCUUUUAUAUGGCUUUUUGGCACUGUCCCUUCUUGUCUAUAUUUUCAUUAAUGUGAUGCUUAUGCUUAUGCUUUCCCACCUGUGGGAUUACACUGUGUUGUUGUUGUUGAUGAUGAUGCUUUCCUGAGUCGAGCCUCUGUAUCCUCACAAAGUAGGGGUAAAGGGUCUGCCGUCUGCGUACACACUACCCUCUCCAGACCCCACAAUAUAAGAUAAUACUGGAUUUAUUGUUGUUAUUGUGUGUGUAUAUAUAUCUCUUAGAAAAUUAUGCUAUGUCUCCUUUUUAUAACUUGGUGCAAAUAGGGCAACGCAAGGUUAAAACGUGCAUCAGAAAGAGAAAUCUUGGAGUGUAUCUUUUACCACUUCAAAUGGAUGAAUUAGGUUUUUGUGGUUGAACAAAACAACUGGUAGUCAACAUAAUCGCAUGAUUUAAACUUAAAAACCAAACCAGUGAGAACUAUUUACAAAAGUUUACCUCCUAUAGCAAAUGUUAACACCUUAUUUAUUUUUAAUAAAUACCAUUCAAAAAAAUUAUAUUCUAUAGAAAUCUUUUAAUGUUUAUAGCAAAAUAUUUAAUUUUGUUACCUCUUAAUCCUAAUCCACUAAAUACACUGAAUAGUUACAUUAUUUUCUUUCUCUCUCUAUUUUGAUACAUGCCAUUCUCUUCUCCCAUUCCCUGAAAACACGAUGCUCAAUCUCAAAAUUCCUCUCACCCACAUCACAUACGUUCUCUCCGAUCCCAAUUCCUCCAAUUCCAUCGGAGCAUGCAUGUAUGUUACCACGUCAAAUAUGUUGACAUAUGGUUUCGACAAUUUGGACAGAACUAGGAGCCUUGGUGUCAAUCAAAAGCUUUAUGCUCAAUUUGGUUUCUUCAGAAUUAGUCGUCAUUUUAAUUAACUGCUGCAAGUCUUAAAUUAGUAAAACUAUAGGAGAAAGAAGAGUCCUUAUUCUGCCACCAUUGCUCGACGACGUCAUCUUCUCGAGGUUCAUCUUCUGGAGAAAGAAGAGUUCUAAUAUUGGAUAAACUCGAGGUUCUCAACUUCCGUCAUCUUCAAUAUAAGAUUCAAGCUUUAACAGAGUCCUUAUUCUGCCACCAUUGCUCGAUGGCAGAUUCGCCGAAAAUUAGGGUUUGUUCUUGAACAAAGACGACGGAGUUUGGGGCUGAGCAACUUGAAUUUUCUGUUAAUAUAUUUCAAUGUAUCUCACUGUAUUUCCAUGUAUUUCAUUGUAUUCAUUGUAUUCAUUGUCUUUUUUCAUUGUAUUUCAAUGUAUCUCGUUGUAUUCCAUGCAUUUCAUUGUAUUCAUUGUUUCGUUGUAUUCCAUGAAUGUAUUCAUAUGUUUUUUAAUUAAUAUAAUUUAUGUAUUCAAAUGUAUUAUAUAAUUUCUUUGAAGAUUGCUAUAUUUUUAGGGUGUUUUUCGGUUGAGAAUCUUUUUUAUAACUGGAAAUACAAAUUUUGUGUGUUAUAAUUGAGUUUGUUGAGUUAUAUUAGGAGUUAUUAUGUUAAUUGAUUCACUUUCCAUUUAAAAACAGUGUAAUCCCCUGUUUCACACCGUGAAUACAGUCGAAUACAAUAAUCUGUCCAGCUGUAAUCCUAUGUUUCACGCCAUGAAUACAGUCGAAUACACUGGAAUACAAUAACUGAUUAGCUGGACUUUCCUGAUUCACGCAUAUUUUUGCUAUUGUAUUCAUGAAUACAAUAGCUUAAAUACAUCUUAUAACAACAGAAAACGUAUCUACAAUCCGUAAUAUAACAAAUGGUAUCUAUAGAUAGCUAAUUACCAUUAAAAGAUAGUGCUUUAUGAAAAUUUCUCAACUAUUUAUCCAUGGUAGACCCUGUGUCACGAUCCGGAUUUUCCACCUUCGGGAGUCGUGAUGGCGCCUACUAGUGAAAGCUAGGCAAGCCAACCAUUUGAAUUAUUUACCUUUUUCCCAUUUUAAUCCUUUUACAAUUAAUAAUCAACAAUUGAUAAAUAGCGAAAAUCUAAUAAGCGGAAGACUGAAAUGUAUAAUUUAAGAAAGAUGCCAAUCCCAAUCCAUACAAUAACUACCAAAGACUGGUGUUACAAUUCCACAAACUGUCUAGGGAUACUAUAAAUAAAAAGACUGAAGAUUUAUUACAAUACUGUCUCUGAAAUAUAUAAAAGAAAUAGACUAAUAGGAUAGGAGAAGACGCCAAGGCAUGCGGACACCUGCAGGACUACCUCAGAAUCUCCGACUGGACUAAAGGCAGCCACCCAAGCUAAGGUUCGAAUGCUGCUGCUUCGGAAUCUACACACAGUGUAGAGUGUAGUAUCAGCACAACUGACCCCAUGUGCUGGUAAGUGCCUAGCCUAAACUCGGUGAAGUAGUGACGGGAAGGGGGACAUAUACGUGGCAAGUAAUAAUGAAGGAAACUAGCAGUUAAAGAUGGGAAGGGGGACAUGCUGUAGAGGAUAUCAUUUACCAACAAUAACUCAGGAGAAAAGCAUAAAGAACAAUUUAAAAUUCGCAGCAGAAAGAAUAAGGAAACAGUAACAAAUCAAUAUCCACUUUUAUCCUUUAUUGUUGCAGCACGCAACCGAUCAAAAUUACAAAAACACUGCUGCGGCGUGCAACCCGAUCCAUAUCAUAUAUCAUUAUUGUGGUGUGCAACCCAAUCCAAAUAUAAUAUUGUUGCGGCGUGCAACCCUAUCCAAAUAUAAUAUUUUUGCGGCGUGCAACCCGAUCCAAAUAUAAUACUGUUGCGGUGUGCAACCCGAUCCCAAUACACAAUUCAACACCAAUCACAAAAGAGUCCCGACAAGGGAACAAUAAGGAAAUAACAAUUGUGAGCACGUNNNNNNNNNNNNNNNAUUUAGCUUUGACAUAUAUUAGGAUUUUUAUUUUUAAUUGUGCAUCCUCAUAAAAUUAGGGAAAAAUAAAACAAAAAUACAAAAUGAAAAAUGAGUAAAAGAAAUAAAAAGAACAAAAAAAGGGGGAAUAAAUAAAGAGGGCUGCUCACAAUUGGGCCAUUUCAACUAAAUUCACCCAGUCCAAAGAAAAAAUCAGACCAAACACACCCCAGAAACCGGCCCAAACCCAUCCCUCUACCCGGUCCGCCCCUUUUGCCCUCGAAACGACGUCGUUUCGUUCCCAGUUGAUCCAGACCGUCGAGGUUAUCAGAUCUAACGGCCAAGACUUCCCCCUCGUUACUAUAUAAAUGUCCGAAAAUAACCCCCCCCUCUCAGACCCCCCCCCCCGUCCAUCUCUAACCUAAACCCUAAAAACCAGCCGCCCCCAUAUCCUUUCAACGGAGCUCGCCGGCGGUGAACGAUACCUACUCCAAAUUACCCCAAAAUAACACCACGAGACCUCCUCUUCUCCCUCGUCAUGAAUCCACCACCCGUUUCCUCCAAAUCCAGCCCUAGCUCGUCGAAUCCUCGAUCAAAGAUUCUUCGACCAAAACCCAAAGUAACCCAAUCACCACCAAAUUAACACCAUGUGACCGCCUGGGCCCCCUCUACCCAACCCCCAUAGCCCUGUCUCUCGAAUCUACCUGGAACAGCUCAAAUAUCAAAUCGAAAGUUUCCGACCAAAACCCUAAUGCAAAAUCUCCAUGAUUUCGGACCCUAACAAUCCUAACCAGGCGUUUUCUUAUGAAAACACGUGGUUAAGGAUGUUACGGGUCAGGAAUUUCGGGGGAUUUGGAGAAACAACCACUGGCCGGAGCUCUUUGUUGUCAGUGAGUUCUUGUUGGUAUUUUCUUUUAUUUUCAAUUUCUGAUUUUCUGCAUGUGUGAAUUCCAUGGUCAAUGUCUAAUUUAAUUUGCGUUUUAAAUUUUUGUCAAUAUUGUUCUAGUCUUGUGUCCUGAUUUUUGUGAUUAAGUCUAGUUGUUUGUUUGAUUUUAAUAUGUUCCAAUUCCUGAUCUUAGUUUAAUUUUAGUUAAGUCGUUGAUAAUUUGUUAAUUAGUUUUACUAAGUUUUGCUUGAAUUAAUUUCUGGUGUUCCUUUAGUUUAGGUUAAUUACUAAUUAGUUCAGUUUCAGUUUAAUUAAUCAUCAUGAUUUGUUGACUUUGGUUAUAGUUGAUAGUUUAAUUUGGUCAUUAAUUCUGAGUUCAAUUGCUAGACUCAAUAAGAGUUUAAAUCGGGAUAGAUGCAGAGUUUAGGAAAAUGUUUGGUUAUAAAUGUACUUUUAGUUUAAGUUCAGGGGUAGUUUAGGCACAGAGAAGGGCUGUUUUGUUAAAGAAUAGUAAUUUCAAAACCAAAAUAAGGGUAGUAUAGGUAUUCUAGAGGUAGAAGAACACCCUAGGGCCUUCUAGAAGGGGGCCUUGGUGUAAGUUUCAGUUUUUUAGAAGCAGUAACUUGAGUAACAAAUUAGGAAAUGAGGGUGUUAACUUGUGUAAUAAGUUAGAAAUAAGGGACUAAUAGGCAAUUGAAAAUCUGAAGUUUCCCUUUAGUUUUGCCUAUAAAAGGCAGUCUUUAUUGCUUUGUUGAAAGAGGUUGGAAUCCCAAAAAUUUCCCCCAAAACCCUCUCUGCAGAUCUGAGCCUAAAAUUUGAAUUUCGAAUCAAUGGAAGUUCAAAAAUCCUCUUCUAGAUUUUAGUUUCGAGAAAUCCAGUAGAAAACCCAAAUUCUAGAUCUAGGUCUUCAGAAAACCAAAAACAAUAGAAAAAUUAAACUAGAGAAAAUCCCAAAAAAAAAAAACUGUUCCAUUGAAAGUUUCAAGUUGAUUUUGAGCUUCAGUGUCUGAUUUGCAUCAUUUAGCAUAUGGUCUCUUUACUGAGACAUUCUGGAGGUUCCUGAGUGCAUCUCGGGUAGGUUUGGGUUUGAUUGAGGCUAUUUUAGGCUGGUUUUAUUGGCUGUUGAUUUCGGAAGUUGUCAUGGGUUUAAUUUUGAGUCUGUUGGGAUUUUUCAAGUUUAUUUGGUUUACUAUUGGUACUGUCAUACUUUGAAUGCAAUUCUGGAUAGUGUUGAUCUGUUUGCUGAAGCUGUGAACUCAAAUUUUGAGCUGUUGUGUGACCUUUGGUGCUACUGACCUCCACUUCUUCUUCGUUUUGUGUUCUAAAUAUCAGGUACAUGUUCUGAAACUCGAUACUAUGUAGAUCUCCAGCUGAAAUGAAAUGAAGAGGAAGCAUAUUUUGUUGAAAUUUCCAGUGGUUCCAAUGCUUUCAUUAUAGUUUUGUAAUGAUUUUGGACUGUAUUGAACUGUUAGGAUUGAGUUUGUUCAUGUGAACUAUUAGUUGUGUGUUUGUGCUUAUUGAAAUAAUUUCUGGCGUUAGUUAACUUUCACAGUUUCAAAAAUGGCACAAAUUAUGACUGAUUCUGGAAAUGCUAUUUAGACAAUCGCUAUUGGUACUGAUUAGAAUAUGCGGAUUGUGUUCAGAAGGGCAUGAGUAUUAAUUGUAAGAUUGUCUAGGUUCGAGUUGGAAGUGACGUUAUUUAAGGAGUUAAGUCACUGAUAUUGU